rnacentral:rRNA from 1 species
CCUACGGGAGGCAGCAGUGAGGAAUAUUGGUCAAUGGGCGCGAGCCUGAACAAGCCAAGGCGCGGGAGGGAUGACGGCCCUACGGGUUGUAAACCUCUGUUGCCGGGGAGCAAAGGGCGCCACGUGUGGCGCCACGGAGAGGACCCGGAGAAAAAGCAUCGGCUAACUCCGGGCAAGCAGCGGCGGUAAUAAGGAGGAUGCGAGCGUUAGCCGGAUUUAUUGGGUUUAAAGGGUGCGUAGGCGGAUCGUUAAGUCAGUGGGCAAAUUGCGGGGCUCAACCCCUUCCCGCCAUUGAAACUGGCGCUCUUGAUUGGACGCGCAGUCUGCGGUCUGCGUGUUGUAGCGGU